rnacentral:rRNA from 1 species
GACGAACGCUGGCGGCGUGCCUAAUACAUGCAAGUAGAACGCUGAAGAGAGGAGCUUACUCUUCUUGGAUGAGUUGCGAACGGGUGAGUAACGCGUAGGUAACCUGCCUUGUAGCGGGGGAUAACUAUUGGAAACGAUAGCUAAUACCGCAUAACAAUGGAUGACACAUGUCAUUUAUUUGAAAGGGGCAAUUGCUCCACUACAAGAUGGACCUGCGUUGUAUUAGCUAGUAGGUGAGGUAAUGGCUCACCUAGGCGACGAUACAUAGCCGACCUGAGAGGGGGAUCGGCCACACUGGGACUGGGACACGGCCCAGACUCCUACGGGAGGCAGCAGUAGGGAAUCUUCGGCAAUGGGGGCAACCCUGACCGAGCAACGCCGCGUGAGUGAAGAAGGUUUUCGGAUCGUAAAGCUCUGUUGUAAGUCAAGAACGGGUGUGAGAGUGGAAAGUUCACACUGUGACGGUAGCUUACCAGAAAGGGACGGCUAACUACGUG